rnacentral:rRNA from 1 species
CACGUAGGGUGCGAGCGUUGUCCGGAAUUAUUGGGCGUAAAGAGCUCGUAGGCGGCUAAGCAAGUCGGGUGGGAAAUCUCCAGGCUCAACCUGGAGCCUUCGCCCGAUACUGCUUUGGCUUGAGUCCGGUAGGGGAGUGUGGAAUUCCCGGUGUAGCGGUGAAAUGCGCAGAUAUCGGGAGGAACACCGGCGGCGAAGGCGGCACUCUGGGCCGGUACUGACGCUGAGGCGCGAAAGCCAGGGGAGCAAACGGG